rnacentral:rRNA from 1 species
GGAGGAAAAGAAACUAACAAGGAUUCCCCUAGUAACGGCGAGUGAAGCGGGAUGAGCUCAAAUUUAAAAUCUGGCGGCCUCAGGUCGUCCGAGUUGUAGUCUAGAGAAUCGUUUUCCGCGUUGGCCUGUGUACAAGUCCCUUGGAACAGGGCGUCAUAGAGGGUGAGAAUCCCGUCCUUGACACAGACUACCAAUGCUUUGUGAUGCGAUCUCGAAGAGUCGAGUUGUUUGGGAAUGCAGCUCAAAAUGGGUGGUAAAUUCCAUCUAAAGCUAAAUAUUGGCGAGAGACCGAUAGCGAACAAGUACCGUGAGGGAAAGAUGAAAAGCACUUUGGAAAGAGAGUUAAACAGUACGUGAAAUUGUUAAAAGGGAAACGAUUGAAGUCAGUCAUGCUUUCCGAGACUCAGCCGAUUCUGUCGGUGUACUUCUCGGUUGGCAGGCCAGCAUCAGUUUCGAUCUGUGGAAAAGGUUGGAGGGAACGUGGCAUCCUCGGAUGUGUUAUAGCCCUUCUUCGAAUACAUAGAGCGGGACUGAGGAACGCAGCGCGCCUUUUAUUAGGUUGGCCCUCGGGUACAUACGCGCUUAGGAUGCUGGCAUAAUGGCUUUAAACGACCCGUCUU